AGACAUCUUCAAGCAGCCCACAAAUUAGCCAUCCACCUUCAAACUUAGAUGUCCAGAGUACAACUACACAUACUCCAGGAGACUCCGACAAUAAUACACCUUCCAUUGACCAAACAACCAAUACUGACACUCAGAUAACUCAAACCAACAAGCAGGCCAAAAGAAGACUUGAUUUUUUACCAGAUGAUGCAGCCACCAAUGACAGGGAAGAAGCACAAAAACUUUCAGAACCACAAAGUCAUCUUCAUGCUCCCAAAAGACACAAAAACAUAGCAGACAGUAGUCCUUCACCCAGCAUUUGAGAAGCCCAUUUUCAGAAACACAAGACAACAUAUAUACUACAAAGACAUAAGACAUCGUCAUGCAACCUUCUCAUGCACUGGAGCACCUAACUACUCAUAAAAUAAUAUUCUAGCUUAUUAUAAAAAAGUUGUCCUAUUCAUACUUAUGAAGAAUAAUAAGUUAUCUUCCUUCAGAUGAUUUCUAUUUACUUCCACACUAUAUUCAAUAUUUAAGUGUUUUCAUUUCUACA